rnacentral:rRNA from 1 species
GAUGAACGCUGGCGGCGUGCCUAAUACAUGCAAGUCGAGCGAACGGACGAGAAGCUUGCUUCUCUGAUGUUAGCGGCGGACGGGUGAGUAACACGUGGAUAACCUACCUAUAAGACUGGGAUAACUUCGGGAAACCGGAGCUAAUACCGGAUAAUAUUUUGAACCGCAUGGUUCAAAAGUGAAAGACGGUCUUGCUGUCACUUAUAGCUGGAUCCGCGCUGCAUUAGCUAGUUGGUAAGGUAACGGCUUACCAAGGCAACGAUGCAUAGCCGACCUGAGAGGGUGAUCGGCCACACUGGAACUGAGAAACGGUCCAGACUCCUACGGGAGGCAGCAGUAGGGAAUCUUCCGCAAUGGGCGAAAGCCGGACGGAGCAACGCCGCGUGAGUGAUGAAGGUCUUCGGAUCGUAAAACUCUGUUAUUAGGGAAGAACAUAUGCGUAAGUAACUGUGCACAUCUUGACGGUACCGAAUCAGAAAGCCACGGCUAACUACGUG